UACGAAGGGGGCUAGCGUUGUUCGGAAUUACUGGGCGUAAAGCGCGCGCAGGUGGUCUUUCAAGUCAGUGGUGAAAGCCCGGAGCUCAACUCCGGAAAUGCCAUUGAAACUGUGAGACUUGAGGACGAGAGAGGUGAGUGGAAUUCCCAGUGUAGAGGUGAAAUUCGUAGAUAUCUGGAGGAACAUCAGUGGCGAAGGCGACACCCUGGAGCUCAUACUGACACUGAGGUGCGAAAGCGUGGGGAGCGAACAGG
rnacentral:rRNA from 1 species